rnacentral:rRNA from 1 species
GACGAACGCUGGCGGCGUGCUUAACACAUGCAAGUCGAACGGAAAGGCCCUGCUUUUGUGGCUUGCACGUGUGGCGAACGGGUGUGUAAAACGUGAGUAACAUGUCCUUGUCUUUGGGAUAAAUUUAGGAAACUGGGGCUCAUACAGGAUAGAAGCUACUGAUGCAUGGUGGGCGUUGGUAAGUUGCGGUGGUUGGGGCUGGACUCGCGGGAUAUCAGCUUGGUGGUGGGGUAGUGGCUUACCAAGGCUUUGAAGGGUAGCCGGCCUGAGAGGGUGACCGGCCACAGUGGGACUGAGAUACGGCCCAGACUCCUACGGGAGGCAGCAGUGGGGAAUAUUGCACAAUGGGCGGAAGCCUGCUGCAGCAACGCCGCGUGCGGGAUGACGGCCUUCGGGUUGUAAACCGCUUUCGCCUGUGACGAAGCGUGAGUGACGGUAAUGGGUAAAGAAGCACCGGCUAACUACGU